rnacentral:rRNA from 1 species
AUUGAACGCUGGCGGCAGGCCUCACACAUGCCAGUCGAGCGGAGCGGCGGACGGGUGAGUAAUGUUUCGGAAACUGCUUGAUGGAGGGGCUUAACUACUGGAAACGGUAGCUAAUACCGCAUACCAUCAGAUGUGCCCAGCUGGGAUUCGCUCGUAGGUGGGGUAACGGCUCACCUAGGCGACGAUCCGUAACUGGUCUGAGAGGAUGAUCAGUCACACUGGAACUGAGACACGGUCCAGACUCCUACGGGAGGAAGCAGUGGGGAAUAUUGGACAAUGGGCGAAAGCCUGAUCCAGCAAUGCCGCGUGUGUGAAGAAGGGCUUCGGAUUGUAAAUCACUUUAAGUUGGGAGGCGUUACCAACAGAAUAAGCACCGGCUAACUUCGUGCCAGCAGCCGCGGUAAUUC